AAAUUGAAGAGUUUGAUCAUGGCUCAGAUUGAACGCUGGCGGCAGGCCUAACACAUGCAAGUCGAACGGUAACAGGAAGCAGCUUGCUGCUUUGCUGACGAGUGGCGGACGGGUGAGUAAUGUCUGGGAAACUGCCUGAUGGAGGGGGAUAACUACUGGAAACGGUGGCUAAUACCGCAUAACGUCGCAAGACCAAAGAGGGGGACCUUCGGGCCUCUUGCCAUCAGAUGUGCCCAGAUGGGAUUAGCUUGUUGGUGAGGUAACGGCUCACCAAGGCGACGAUCCCUAGCUGGUCUGAGAGGAUGACCAGCCACACUGGAACUGAGACACGGUCCAGACUCCUACGGGAGGCAGCAGUGGGGAAUAUUGCACAAUGGGCGCAAGCCUGAUGCAGCCAUGCCGCGUGUAUGAAGAAGGCCUUCGGGUUGUAAAGUACUUUCAGCGGGGAGGAAGGUGUUGUGGUUAAUAACCGCAGCAAUUGACGUUACCCGCAGAAGAAGCACCGGCUAACUCCGUGCCAGCAGCCGCGGUAAUACGGAGGGUGCAAGCGUUAAUCGGAAUUACUGGGCGUAAAGCGCACGCAGGCGGUCUGUCAAGUCGGAUGUGAAAUCCCCGGGCUCAACCUGGGAACUGCAUUCGAAACUGGCAGGCUUGAGUCUUGUAGAGGGGGGUAGAAUUCCAGGUGUAGCGGUGAAAUGCGUAGAGAUCUGGAGGAAUACCGGUGGCGAAGGCGGCCCCCUGGACAAAGGCUGACGCUCAGGUGCGAAAGCGUGGGGAGCAAACAGGAUUAGAUACCCUGGUAGUCCACGCCGUAAACGAUGUCUACUUGGAGGUUGUGCCCUUGAGGCGUGGCUUCCGGAGCUAACGCGUUAAGUAGACCGCCUGGGGAGUACGGCCGCAAGGUUAAAACUCAAAUGAAUUGACGGGGGCCCGCACAAGCGGUGGAGCAUGUGGUUUAAUUCGAUGCAACGCGAAGAACCUUACCUGGUCUUGACAUCCACAGAAGAAUCCAGAGAUGGAUUUGUGCCUUCGGGAACUGUGAGACAGGUGCUGCAUGGCUGUCGUCAGCUCGUGUUGUGAAAUGUUGGGUUAAGUCCCGCAACGAGCGCAACCCUUAUCCUUUGUUGCCAGCGGUUAGGCCGGGAACUCAAAGGAGACUGCCAGUGAUAAACUGGAGGAAGGUGGGGAUGACGUCAAGUCAUCAUGGCCCUUACGACCAGGGCUACACACGUGCUACAAUGGCGCAUACAAAGAGAAGCGACCUCGCGAGAGCAAGCGGACCUCAUAAAGUGCGUCGUAGUCCGGAUUGGAGUCUGCAACUCGACUCCAUGAAGUCGGAAUCGCUAGUAAUCGUGGAUCAGAAUGCCACGGUGAAUACGUUCCCGGGCCUUGUACACACCGCCCGUCACACCAUGGGAGUGGGUUGCAAAAGAAGUAGGUAGCUUAACCUUCGGGAGGGCGCUUACCACUUUGUGAUUCAUGACUGGGGUGAAGUCGUAACAAGGUAACCGUAGGGGAACCUGCGGUUGGAUCACCUCCUUACCUUAAAGAA
rnacentral:rRNA from 1 species